GAUGUUAAAACUUAUGCUGACUUUAGAAUACCAUAGGUCUCAAGUUUUGAAAAUACCAAGAACCAUUUUCUGUAUUAUCGAUCGGAGAUAAUCACCAGUUCUUGACAAGGGAUUUUUAAAUGAAAAAGUGCUGAUAUUGUUGAUAUUGUAUAAUAGAAAAUUUAUAAUAGUGGCUAAAAGUGGUACAUGAGACAUAUCCUAACCUGCUGAUUAAAAAUAUUCUUUUUAUUUACAAAGAUAAUUUCAGGAGCAGAAAUAUAAUUUAUUUUCGCUCCUGGAAUGCGAUUGUGAAUAUCGACUAGUGACAUGACUGGCCAAUAAUGAUAAUGUACUGAUCCGCCCUGUCUUUAAAAAAUAUUUUCGAUGAACUUUCCAUUGAAAUUGAUUGACACAUUCUUUAUUUUUUCCAAUACAAAAUUAGGAAUGUGGUUAAUUGAAAUUAAAACAACAGACUCUAUAAAACAUUAUUUUUUCAACAUUAAAAUAAACAUGUACAAUAUAAUCUCGACGGAAUAGACUGGUGACGAAAAAAUAUAUCCAUUUUUUUUCUAAGGAAAAUUUCCAAACGGACAAGGAAUUAUUUUUAUGAGAUAUUGCAGGUGAAGCAUCUUUCGAAAGAAUCUUUACCUUGUUUUGGAAAAUCCUACUCAAAUGGCCUUUGGCAGAAGAUUCAUUUACAACGAGCAGAUUGUCGGACGCAAAAGUGCACGCCCAGAAACCAAAUGUGCAAGUACCUUAGAAACACCAAACCCUGCGUCGACCGAUGACAUUGAAACACCAACUCUAAUCUUUGACACAUUAAAUGUCAGAUGAUUAUUGGAUUUACGUGCUUGCAAAUGAGAGUGUCUACACAAGGUACAGAGAACAAGUACUUUGCCAAUCAGCCUAUCGUCUGGUCGUCUACAAGAUAGUAGGGAGUUUGACAAAAUCGAUUACGUGAGACAACAAAUGCCAAAUUAUUAGAGACAAAUAGGUGCUGGAAAAAUGUCAUAAAAUGUUUUACGUGAAAUUGUGAACCGUCUUGUAGCACACUUUUUAGGUAUAAAAACUUUCCAUGCCAGUAGAGGCUGUGAAAAAAGUUAGUGCAAAUGUAAAGGAACUAAAUUCGUCGCAUCAAGAAAACAAUUCACUUUAAACAAUAAAUGAAAAGAAUAGAACAAUUAAUUCAGUUAAAUAUGUCAAUUUCAAUGUAUCAAUUUCAAGGUUUUUACUUUGUGAUUUUAAUGUGUCAAUUUGAAGGGUUUUACUUUGUGAUUAAAUGACAGUCCUCUGGAGGCAUUUUCCCCUAGGAAAAUAGAAUAUUGUAUCGAUAAAAACCUUUUCCGAAAUUGAAUAAGCAUACGAUCUUAUUUUAUGCAGUAUGAGUAUAAAUGUUCUCGAGGAUAAUGAAAAGACCGAGGUAUGUGGAAAAUAUUUCCUUGCUUUUAAAUAUACACAAUUAUGCAUUGUCUUCAAUAUGUAAAUGAUUCAUUGUUGACAUCAAUAUUUUGGUUGUAAUGUAAAAAUAGUGGUAGUAAUUUAUACUGGAAUGCCCAUCAAAAGCAGCACUAUGAAUCCUCAAACUGUAAGGAAAACAAUGAAAUCAUUAGAUUAUUCUACAUCCUCUACAUACGAUUAUACAUACCAUAUCAUCGAGAUCCAUGCACGCACGUUCUUCUAUAUCUUCGUUUUUGUCGAUUAGCACAUUAUUUGCUGGUAGUUUAUGUAAGUUUUUAUUCUGGAGAUUAUCCUCGGGCUCAUCCGCCUCAACUUCCCUGAAAUCAGAAAAAUCAUUCUAAAACAUUUUCUUCCAUUCGUUUCAUUAACUACGCGAAAUCGGUCUAAAUUUCUUUGGAAAAUAAUGAUCACAUAGGAAAAAGGCGAGGAAAUCGGAAAAUGAUCAAAAGUUACAAAUUACUUUUUUUCAUUGUUGUCGGUGUUUAGAACACUAUUGAAUGAAAAAAUAAAUAUGUAUUAUGUAUGUAUUAUUAUGUAUGUAAUAUGUAUAUGUAUUUUUUAGUUCUACCAAAUUAUGAGAGAUUAAUAAAUAGGAAAAGUCAAUAGCAAGAAGGUAAAACGAUACAAAUUAACCUACUUCUUAAAGUAGAUCUACCCUCAGGUCCGUAUUCUACGGACCAGACAGUUUUUUCUUUUUACCUUUCAAUAUUUUCAGAUGCCAAAUCUUUCAACUAGUUGCAUGAGUAAAAUUCGAGGAAAAUCAUACAUAGUAUCAUCUAAAUGAAAUUUCGAAACGUAUCGACAUUUUCUAAACAUUUCGUUCUUAUAAACAAAUAAUAAAAGUUGGUUCCCAAAUGAGAGAUUAUCUUUUACGAAGUGUCAAGAAAUUACUGGAUACUUUUAUAUCUAAUAAUGAAAAAAUUAUAAUUUUAAUCUUUGAUUAUAAUCGUAAUGUUGAUUUUCCCACAAGAGACUGUGGAAAUUCAACUUUUUAAACUUUUUUUUAACAGAAGCGAUAAUUAAAAUGAAGAAAAAAAUGACGACUCCAAGUGCGAUUGAGUUUUCUAAAAAUGUUGUAUAGGUUUUGAUAAUCUGUGAAUUUGCUUUAAGGGCAAAGGUAUUUCAACUACGUCCGAUUUGCGGAACUAACGGGAAUAACAGUUUUCUCUAAUGAGCUGGGGGGGCGGGGAUUAAAAGGUAAUAACCACAAUGUCGUUAUCUCCCUUAGAUUUCAAGAUUUUCAUCCCAAACUUUCUAAUAACCAAGGUCGAAUUGAACCAUUUGAUCUCAUCACUACAGAAUAAUAAUUAAUAAAUAAUUAUUACAUGUCAGUUUCCUUGGCGACUACUUGCACAACUUCCUCAGGUGUUAUCUCGAAUAAAUUAAUCAAUUGCUCUA